rnacentral:rRNA from 1 species
GAUGAACGCUAGCGGCAGGCUUAACACAUGCAAGUCGAGGGGUAUAGGUUUUCGGACCUAGAGACCGGCGCACGGGUGCGUAACGCGUAUGCAAUCUACCUUUCACAGAGGGAUAGCCCAGAGAAAUUUGGAUUAAUACCUCAUAGUAUAGCAGUUUCGCAUGAAACCACUAUUAAAGUUCCAACGGUGAAAGAUGAGCAUGCGUCCCAUUAGCUAGAUGGUAAGGUAACGGCUUACCAUGGCUACGAUGGGUAGGGGUCCUGAGAGGGAGAUCCCCCACACUGGUACUGAGACACGGACCAGACUCCUACGGGAGGCAGCAGUGAGGAAUAUUGGUCAAUGGACGCAAGUCUGAACCAGCCAUGCCGCGUGCAGGAUGACGGUCCUAUGGAUUGUAAACUGCUUUUGUACGAGAAGAAACAACAUUACGUGUAAUGUCUUGACGGUAUAGUAAGAAUAAGGAUCGGCUAACUCCGUGCCAGCCGCCGCGGUAAGAC